rnacentral:rRNA from 1 species
CGAGACCUUAACCUGCUAAAUAGGCCGUAUUGCUUUGGCAGUACGCUGGCUUCUUAGAGGGAGUAUCCGCUCAAGCGGAUGGAAGUUUGAGGCAAUAACAGGUCUGUGAUGACCUUAGAUGUUCUGGGCCGCACGCGAGUUACACUGACGGAGCCAGCGAGUGCUUCCUUGACAGAGAUGUCCGGGUAAUCUUGUGAAACUCU